AGCGAACGCUGGCGGCAGGCCUAACACAUGCAAGUCGAGCGCCCCGCAAGGGGAGCGGCAGACGGGAGAGUAACACGUGGGAACGUACCCUUCAGUUCGGAACAACCCAGGGAAACUUGGGCUAAUACCGGAUACGUCCGUAAGGAGAACGAUUGAUCGCUGAAGGAUCGGCCCGCGUCCGCUUAGCUAGUUGGUGAGGUAACGGCUCACCAAGGCGACGAUCGGUAGCUGGUCUGAGAGUAUGAUCAGCCUCACUGGGACUGAGACACGGCCCAGACUCCUACGGGAGGCAGCAGUGGGGAAUAUUGGACAAUGGGCGCAAGCCUGAUCCAGCCAUGCCGCGUGGAUGAUGAAGGCCCUAGGGUUGUAAAGUCCUUUCGGCGGGGAAGAUAAUGACGGUACCCGCAGAAGAAGCCCCGGCUAACUUCGUGCCAGCAGCCGCAGUAACAC
rnacentral:rRNA from 1 species